rnacentral:rRNA from 1 species
CCCUUAGAUGUUCUGGGCCGCACGCGCGCUACACUGAUGCAUUCAACGAGCCUAUCCUUGACCGACAGGUCCGGGUAAUCUUUGAAUCUGCAUCGUGACGGGGAUAGAUUAUUGCAAUUAUUAAUCUUCAACGAGGAAUGCCUAGUAGGCGCAAGUCAUCAGCUUGCGUCGAUUACGUCCCUGCCCUUUGUACACACCGCCCGUCGCUCCUACCGAUUGGGUGUGCUGGUGAAAUGUUCGGAUCGGCCGUUUGUCGCGGUUUCCGCGUCAUAUGGCUGAGAAGUUCAUUAAACCCUCCCACCUAGAGGAAGGAGAAGUCGUAACA